rnacentral:rRNA from 1 species
CCUACGGGGGGCAGCAGUGGGGAAUAUUGGACAAUGGGGGCAACCCUGAUCCAGCCAUGCCGCGUGUGUGAAGAAGGCCCUCGGGUUGUAAAGCACUUUCAGUGAGGAAGAACGCCUGGUGGUUAAUACCCAUCAGGAAAGACAUCACUCACAGAAGAAGCACCGGCUAACUCCGUGCCAGCAGCCGCGGUAAUACGGAGGGUGCGAGCGUUAAUCGGAAUUACUGGGCGUAAAGCGCGCGUAGGUGGCUUGAUAAGCCGGUUGUGAAAGCCCCGGGAUCAACCUGGGAACGGCAUCCGGAACUGUCAAGCUAGAGUGCAGGAGAGGAAGGUAGAAUUCCCGGUGUAGCGGUGAAAUGCGUAGAGAUCGGGAGGAAUACCAGUGGCGAAGGCGGCCUUCUGGACUGACACUGACACUGAGGUGCGAAAGCGUGGGUAGCAAACAGGAUUAGAUACCCCAGUAGUC